rnacentral:ncRNA from 1 species
AAAAUCGCGCAAAUUCUAUAUAUUGCAGAGAUCAUGUAGGCCU